ACGUACACUCCUGCGGGAGGCAGCAGUGGGGAAUUUUGGACAAUGGGCGAAAGCCUGAUCCAGCCAUGCCGCGUGCAGGAUGAAGGCCUUCGGGUUGUAAACUGCUUUUGUACGGAACGAAACGGCCUUUUCUAAUAAAGAGGGCUAAUGACGGUACCGUAAGCAUAAGCACCGGCUAACUACGUGCCAGCAGCCGCGGUAAUACGUAGGGCGCAAGCGUUAAUAGGAAUUACUGGGCGUAAAGCGUGCGCAGGCGGUUAUGUAAGACAGUUGUGAAAUCCCCGGGCUCAACCUGGGAACUGCAUCUGUGACUGCAUAGCUAGAGUACGGUAGAGGGGGAUGGAAUUCCGCGUGUAGCAGUGAAAUGCGUAGAUAUGCGGAGGAACACCGAUGGCGAAGGCAAUCCCCUGGACCUGUACUGACGCUCAUGCACGAAAGCGUGGGGAGCAAACAGGAUUAGAUACCCUUGUAGUCC
rnacentral:rRNA from 1 species